rnacentral:rRNA from 1 species
AGAUUGAACGCUGGCGGCGUGCCUAACACAUGCAAGUCGAGCGGUAACAGGUGUAGCAAUACAUGCUGACGAGCGGCGAACGGGUGAGUAAUGGCUUCGGAAUCUACCUUAUGGUGGGGAAUAACUAGCCGAAAGGUUAGCUAAUACCGCAUACGUCCUACGGGAGAAAGCAGGGGAUCGCAAGACCUUGCGACCAAAAGAUGAGCCGAAGUCGGAUUAGCUAGUUGGUACGGUAACGGCCUACCAAGGCGACGAUCCGUAGCUGGCCUGAGAGGACGACCAGCCACACUGGAACCUGACGACACGGUCCAGACUACCGUACGGGAGACAGCAGGUAGGGGAAUGUAGGACAAGU